GAAACUUAGGAUUACGCAAACCGAAG
rnacentral:tRNA from 1 species